AGAGUUUGAUCCUGGCUCAGGACGAACGCUGGCGGCGUGCCUAACACAUGCAAGUCGAGCGAGUGGAGUUCUUCGGAACAAAGCUAGCGGCGGACGGGUGAGUAACACGUGGGCAACCUGCCUCAUAGAGGGGAAUAGCCUCCCGAAAGGGAGAUUAAUACCGCAUAAGAUUGUAGCUUCGCAUGAAGUAGCAAUUAAAGGAGCAAUCCGCUAUGAGAUGGGCCCGCGGCGCAUUAGCUAGUUGGUGAGGUAACGGCUCACCAAGGCGACGAUGCGUAGCCGACCUGAGAGGGUGAUCGGCCACAUUGGGACUGAGACACGGCCCAGACUCCUACGGGAGGCAGCAGUGGGGAAUAUUGCACAAUGGGGGAAACCCUGAUGCAGCAACGCCGCGUGAGUGAUGACGGCCUUCGGGUUGUAAAGCUCUGUCUUCAGGGACGAUAAUGACGGUACCUGAGGAGGAAGCCACGGCUAACUACGUGCCAGCAGCCGCGGUAAUACGUAGGUGGCGAGCGUUGUCCGGAUUUACUGGGCGUAAAGGGAGCGUAGGCGGACUUUUAAGUGAGAUGUGAAAUACCCGGGCUCAACUUGGGUGCUGCAUUUCAAACUGGAAGUCUAGAGUGCAGGAGAGGAGAAUGGAAUUCCUAGUGUAGCGGUGAAAUGCGUAGAGAUUAGGAAGAACACCAGUGGCGAAGGCGAUUCUCUGGACUGUAACUGACGCUGAGGCUCGAAAGCGUGGGUAGCGAACAGGAUUAGAUACCCUGGUAGUCCACGCCGUAAACGAUGGAUACUAGCUGUUGGGAGCAAUUUCAGUGGCUAAGCGAAAGUGAUAAGUAUCCCACCUGGGGAGUACGAACGCAAGUUUGAAACUCAAAGGAAUUGACGGGGGCCCGCACAAGCGGUGGAGCAUGUGGUUUAAUUCGAUGAUACGCGAGGAACCUUACCAAGGCUUAAAUGCAGACUGACCGAUUUGGAAACAGAUCUUUCGCAAGACAGUUUACAAGGUGCUGCAUGGUUGUCGUCAGCUCGUGCCGUGAGGUGUCAGGUUAAGUCCUAUAACGAGCGCAACCCCUGUUGUUAGUUGCCAGCGAGUAGUGUCGGGAACUCUAACAAGACUGCCAGUGCAAACUGUGAGGAAGGUGGGGAUGACGUCAAAUCAUCACGGCCCUUACGCCUUGGGCUACACACGUGCUACAAUGGCCGGUACAGAGAGCAGCCACUGGGUGACCAGGAGCGAAUCUAUAAAGCCGGUCACAGUUCGGAUCGGAGUCUGCAACUCGACUCCGUGAAGCUGGAGUUGCUAGUAAUCGCGAAUCAGCGUGUCGCGGUGAAUACGUUCCCGGGCCUUGUACACACCGCCCGUCA
rnacentral:rRNA from 1 species